rnacentral:rRNA from 1 species
GUCGUGAGGCAUGCUGGAGGUAUCAGAAGUGCGAAUGCUGACAUAAGUAACGAUAAAGCGGGUGAAAAGCCCGCUCGCCGGAAGACCAAGGGUUCCUGUCCAACGUUAAUCGGGGCAGGGUGAGUCGACCCCUAAGGCGAGGCCGAAAGGCGUAGUCGAUGGGAAACGGGUUAAUAUUCCCGUACUUGGUGUUACUGCGAAGGGGGGACGGAGAAGGCUAUGUUGGCCGGGCGACGGUUGUCCCGGUUUAAGCGUGUAGGUGUGUGUUCCAGGUAAAUCCGGUUCACUUUAACACUGAGGCGUGAUGACGAGGCACUACGGUGCUGAAGCAACAAAUGCCCUGCUUCCAGGAAAAGCCUCUAAGCAUCAGGUAACAUCAAAUCGUACCCCAAACCGACACAGGUGGUCAGGUAGAGAAUACCAAGGCGCUUGAGAGAACUCGGGUGAAGGAACUAGGCAAAAUGGUGCCGUAACUUCGGGAGAAGGCACGCUGACACGUAGGUGAAGUGAUUUACUCAUGGAGCUGAAGUCAGUCGAAGAUACCAGCUGGCUGCAACUGUUUAUUAAAAACACAGCACUGUGCAAACACGAAAGUGGACGUAUACGGUGUGACGCCUGCCCGGUGCCGGAAGGUUAAUUGAUGGGGUCAGCGCAAGCGAAGCUCCUGAUCGAAGCCCCGGUAAACGGCGGCCGUAACUAUAACGGUCCUAAGGUAGCGAAAUUCCUUGUCGGGUAAGUUCCGACCUGCACGAAUGGCGUAAUGAUGGCCAGGCUGUCUCCACCCGAGACUCAGUGAAAUUGAACUCGCUGUGAAGAUGCAGUGUACCCGCGGCAAGACGGAAAGACCCCGUGAACCUUUACUAUAGCUUGACACUGAACAUUGAGCCUUGAUGUGUAGGAUAGGUGGGAGGCUUUGAAGUGUGGACGCCAGUCUGCAUGGAGCCGGCCUUGAAAUACCACCCUUUAAUGUUUGAUGUUCUAACGUGGACCCGUGAUCCGGGUUGCGGACAGUGUCUGGUGGGUAGUUUGACUGGGGCGGUCUCCUCCUAAAGAGUAACGGAGGAGCACGAAGGUUGGCUAAUCCUGGUCGGACAUCAGGAGGUUAGUGCAAUGGCAUAAGCCAGCUUGACUGCGAGCGUGACGGCGCGAGCAGGUGCGAAAGCAGGUCAUAGUGAUCCGGUGGUUCUGAAUGGAAGGGCCAUCGCUCAACGGAUAAAAGGUACUCCGGGGAUAACAGGCUGAUACCGCCCAAGAGUUCAUAUCGACGGCGGUGUUUGGCACCUCGAUGUCGGCUCAUCACAUCCUGGGGCUGAAGUAGGUCCCAAGGGUAUGGCUGUUCGCCAUUUAAAGUGGUACGCGAGCUGGGUUUAGAACGUCGUGAGACAGUUCGGUCCCUAUCUGCCGUGGGCGCUGGAGAACUGAGGGGGGCUGCUCCUAGUACGAGAGGACCGGAGUGGACGCAUCACUGGUGUUCGGGUUGUCAUGCCAAUGGCACUGCCCGGUAGCUAAAUGCGGAAGAGAUAAGUGCUGAAAGCAUCUAAGCACGAAACUUGCCCCGAGAUGAGUUCUCCCUGAGACUUAGAGUCUCCUGAAGGAACGUUGAAGACGACGACGUUGAUAGGCCGGGUGUGUAAGCGCAGCGAUGCGUUGAGCUAACCGGUACUAAUGAACCGUGAGGCUUAACCUUACA